CAGCAGCCGCGGGAAUACGUAGGGUGCGAGCGUUAAUCGGAAUUACUGGGCGUAAAGCGUGCGCAGGCGGUUGUGUAAGACAGGUGUGAAAUCCCCGGGCUUAACCUGGGAACUGCGCUUGUGACUGCACAGCUAGAGUAUGGCAGAGGGGGGUGGAAUUCCACGUGUAGCAGUGAAAUGCGUAGAGAUGUGGAGGAACACCGAUGGCGAAGGCAGCCCCUUGGGAAUGUACUGACGCUCAUGCACGAAAGCGUGGGGAGCAAACAGGAUUAGAUACCCGUGUAGUCCCUGUCUCUUAUAC
rnacentral:rRNA from 1 species